AUCCUGCUGACGAGUCCCAAACAGGACGAGACGUACGUCCUGGAU
rfam:Schistosoma margrebowiei strain Zambia genome assembly, scaffold: SMRZ_scaffold0002921